GACAGAGGGUGCAAACGUUGUUCGGAAUUACUGGGCGUAAAGCGUGUGUAGGCGGCCAUUCAAGUCGGAUGUGAAAGCCCCGGGCUCAACCCGGGAAGUGCACCCGAAACUGGAUGGCUUGAGUAUCGGAGAGGUUGGUGGAAUUCUCGGUGUAGAGGUGAAAUUCGUAGAUAUCGAGAGGAACACCGGUGGUGAAGGCGGCCAACUGGACGAAUACUGACGCUGAGACACGAAAGCGUGGGGAGCAAACAGG
rnacentral:rRNA from 1 species